UNUUCAUUGCUACCUAUGAGGUUGGAGCCC
rnacentral:piRNA from 1 species